rnacentral:rRNA from 1 species
UACGUAGGGGGCAAGCGUUGUCCGGAUUUAUUGGGCGUAAAGGGCUCGUAGGUGGCCAACUAAGUCAGACGUGAAAUCCCUCGGCUUAACCGGGGAACUGCGUCUGAUACUGGAUGGCUUGAGAUUGGGAGAGGGAUGCGGAAUUCCAGGUGUAGCGGUGAAAUGCGUAGAUAUCUGGAGGAACACCGGUGGCGAAGGCGGCAUCCUGGACCAACACUGACACUGAGGAGCGAAAGCCAGGGGAGCAAACGGG